AUCUGGUAGCCUCAGGCUAUCCGAGUUGUAAUCUAUAGAUGCGUUUUCCGCGCUGGCCCAUGUACAAGUGCCUUGGAAUAGGCUGUCAUAGAGGGUGAGAAUCCCGUCCCUGACAUGGACUACCAGUGCUUUGUGAUACGUAUUCAACGAGUCGAGUUGUUUGGGAAUGCAGCUCAAAAUGGGUGGUAAAUUCCAUCUAAAGCUAAAUAUUGGCGAGAGACCGAUAGCGAACAAGUACCGUGAGGGAAAGAUGAAAAGCACUUUGGAAAGAGAGUUAAACAGUAUGUGAAAUUGUUGAAAGGGAAACGAUUGAAGUCAGUCGUGUCUAUUGGACUCAGCCGGUUCUGCCGGUGUACUUCCUUUAGACGGGGUCAACAUCAGUUUUGAUCGCUGGAAAAGGGCUGGAGGAAUGUAGCACUCUCGGGUGAACUUAUAGCCUUCAGUCGUAUGCAGUGGUUGGGACUGAGGAACGCAGCACGCCUUUAUGGCCGGGGUUCGCCCACGUACGUGCUUAGGAUGUUGACAUAAUGGCUUUAAACGACCCGUCUUG
rnacentral:rRNA from 1 species